GACGAACGCUGGCGGCGUGCUUAACACAUGCAAGUCGAACGGAAAGGCCCUGCUUUUGUGGGGUGCUCGAGUGGCGAACGGGUGAGUAACACGUGAGUAACCUGCCCUUGACUUUGGGAUAACUUCAGGAAACUGGGGCUAAUACCGGAUAGGAGCUCCUGCUGCAUGGUGGGGGUUGGAAAGUUUCGGCGGUUGGGGAUGGACUCGCGGCUUAUCAGCUUGUUGGUGGGGUAGUGGCUUACCAAGGCUUUGACGGGUAGCCGGCCUGAGAGGGUGACCGGCCGCAUUGGGACUGAGAUACGGCCCAGACUCCUACGGGAGGCAGCGGUGGGGAAUAUUGCACAAUGGGCGGAAGCCUGAUGCAGCAACGCCGCGUGCGGGAUGACGGCCUUCGGGUUGUAAACCGCUUUCGCCUGUGACGAAGCGUGAGUGACGGUAAUGGGUAAAGAAGCACCGGCUAACUACGUG
rnacentral:rRNA from 1 species